AACGAACGCUGGCGGCAUGCCUAAUACAUGCAAGUCGAACGAACACUUCGGUGUUAGUGGCGCACGGGUGCGUAACGCGUGGGAAUCUACCCCUGGGUUCGGAAUAACGUCUGGAAACGGACGCUAAUACCGGAUGAUGACGUAAGUCCAAAGAUUUAUCGCCCAGGGAUGAGCCCGCGUAGGAUUAGCUAGUUGGUGAGGUAAAGGCUCACCAAGGCUACGAUCCUUAGCUGGUCUGAGAGGAUGAUCAGCCACACUGGGACUGAGACACGGCCCAGACUCCUACGGGAGGCAGCAGUAGGGAAUAUUGGACAAUGGGCGAAAGCCUGAUCCAGCAAUGCCGCGUGAGCGAUGAAGGCCUUAGGGUUGUAAAGCUCUUUUACCCGGGAUGAUAGUGACAGUACCGGGAGAAUAAGCCCCGGCUAACUCCGUGCCAGCCGCCGCAGUAA
rnacentral:rRNA from 1 species